rnacentral:rRNA from 1 species
CCUACGGGGGGCAGCAGUGAGGAAUAUUGGUCAAUGGACGAGAGUCUGAACCAGCCAAGUAGCGUGAAGGAUGACUGCCCUAUGGGUUGUAAACUUCUUUUAUAUGGGAAUAAAAUGUUCCACGUGUGGGAUUUUGUAUGUACCAUAUGAAUAAGGAUCGGCUAACUCCGUGCCAGCAGCCGCGGUAAUACGGAGGAUCCGAGCGUUAUCCGGAUUUAUUGGGUUUAAAGGGAGCGUAGGUGGAUUGUUAAGUCAGUUGUGAAAGUUUGCGGCUCAACCGUAAAAUUGCAGUUGAAACUGGCAGUCUUGAGUACAGUAGAGGUGGGCGGAAUUCGUGGUGUAGCGGUGAAAUGCUUAGAUAUCACGAAGAACUCCGAUUGCGAAGGCAGCUCACUGGACUGCAACUGACGCUGAGGAGCGAAAGCGUGGGUAGCAAACAGGAUUAGAUACCCCUGUAGUC